AGUGAGUUGCCGUCGGAUGCCGAUCGCGAAUUUCUUGUGUUUGGCAAUAAUUGUGAUCAAAAUUACUUUGCGCUCAAUUUUUUUAUCAUCAGUGAAAGUGCUCAAGCUAAUAUGACACCUGUACAUGCCUUGUCGCGGGUUCCCAUCGCCGCUUUGCUGUUCUUUCUUUGAUUAGACUUGCACUUGACUCCGUCAUCGUAGAAGGAUCAUUAUUGCAUCAGAUUGACUACGGUACCCUGAACAGGAGUCAAUUCUACAGCUACCUUCGUACGGUAUCCUGAUUAUUUUUGUUAUAACUCGCGAACGCGGUUUUACUUUAAGUUCGAAAUAACUUUCUUAGAUGCGGAAUUUACUUUUGUAUCACCUUGUAUUAAAAUUUAUUGCUAGAAAA